GCCAGCAGUCAAAGCAUCGUUUCUCGCUCACGCGAGUCGGCAUUGCGCAGCAAUCAGCGGCAACAUGCG
rnacentral:snoRNA from 1 species